rnacentral:rRNA from 1 species
UACGAAGGGGGCUAGCGUUGCUCGGAAUUACUGGGCGUAAAGGGAGCGUAGGCGGACAUUUAAGUCAGGGGUGAAAUCUUUCGGCCCAACCGGAAAAGUGCCCCUGAUACUGGCCGCCUCGAGGGGGGUAGGGGCAUGCGGAACUUCCGGUGGAGCGGUGAAAUGCGUAGAUAUCGGAAGGAACGCCGGUGGCGAAAGCGGCGUGCUGGACCCCUUCUGACGCUGAGGCGCGAAAGCCAGGGGAGCAAACGGG